rnacentral:rRNA from 1 species
GACGAACGCUGGCGGCGUGCUUAACACAUGCAAGUCGAACGGAAAGGCCCUGCUUUUGUGGGGUGCUCGAGUGGCGAACGGGUGAGUAACACGUGAGUAACCUGCCCUUGACUUUGGGAUAACUUCAGGAAACUGGGGCUAAUACCGGAUAGGAGCUCCUGCUGCAUGGUGGGGGUUGGAAAGUUUCGGCGGUUGGGGAUGGACUCGCGGCUUAUCAGCUUGUUGGUGGGGUAGUGGCUUACCAAGGCUUUGACGGGUAGCCGGCCUGUGAGGGUGACCGGCCACAUUGGGACUGAGAUACGGCCCAGACUCCUACGGGAGGCAGCAGUGGGGAAUAUUGCACAAUGGGCGGAAGCCUGAUGCAGCAACGCCGCGUGCGGGAUGACGGCCUUCGGGUUGUAAACCGCUUUCGCCUGUGACGACGCGUGAGUGACGGUAAUGGGUAAAGAAGCACCGGCUAACUACGUG